rnacentral:rRNA from 1 species
AUGGCGACGCCGUCCGCGCCAGCUGAUUGUUCUCCGCCCCUCAUGAUCCUCCUCCUCCUCCUCGUCUUCCUCCCCCUCGCCGUCUCGUGUGGCGAUGACGGCAGCGGCGGGUACGACGUCGUGUCGCUGACCCAGUCGGGGAGCGCUCUGUCGGCGCGGCUGGAGCUUGUGCUUGCCGGCGAGACGCCGGCGGACGCGGCGCUCGGGGCUGGUGCCCAAAGGCUCUGCCUCACUGCAAGCCUCGAGACGGACAGCCGGCUGCGCGUGCGCAUCACCGACGGCGACCGCCCGCGAUGGGAGGUGCCGCAGGACAUCAUCCCGCGCCCGGCGCCGGAGGACGACCUCCACAACGCGCCGCCCGCCUCCUCGACGCCGCUCCAGGGCAGCCGCGUCCUGUCCGCCGCGGGCUCCGACCUCGUCCUCACCGUCCACGCCUCCCCGUUCCGCUUCACCGUGUCCCGCCGCUCCACCGGCGACGUGCUCUUCGACACCGCCCCCGGCCUCGUCUUCCGGGACAAGUACCUGGAGGUGACGUCGGCGCUGCCGGCGGGCCGGGCGUCGCUGUACGGGCUGGGCGAGCAGACGAAGGGCUCGUUCCGGCUGCGGCACAACGACACCUUCACGCUCUGGAACGCCGACAUCGGUGCGGCCCACGUGGACGUCAACCUCUACGGCGCGCACCCCUUCUACAUGGACGUGCGGCCGCCGGGGGCCGCCCACGGCGUGCUCCUGCUCAGCAGCAACGGCAUGGACGUGCUCUACGGCGGGUCCUACGUCACCUACAAGGUCAUCGGCGGCGUCCUCGACUUCUACUUCUUCGCCGGCCCCUCCCCGCUCGCCGUCGUCGACCAGUACACCCAGCUCAUCGGCCGCCCUGCCCCCAUGCCCUAUUGGUCCUUCGGGUUCCACCAGUGCCGGUACGGGUACCUGAACGUGUCUGACCUGGAGCGCGUGGUGGCCGGCUACGCCAAGGCCAGGAUCCCGCUGGAGGUGAUGUGGACGGACAUCGACUACAUGGACGGCUUCAAGGACUUCACCCUGGACCACGUGAACUUCACCGCCGCCGAGCUCCGGCCGUUCGUCGACCGGCUUCACCGCAACGCCCAGAAAUACGUCCUCAUCCUAGACCCAGGGAUCCGCAUCGACGCGACGUACGGGACGUUCGUCCGCGGGAUGCAGCAGGACAUCUUCCUGAAGCGGAACGGCACCAACUUCCUCGGCAACGUGUGGCCCGGCGACGUCUACUUCCCGGACUUCAUGCACCCGCGCGCCGCCGAGUUCUGGGCGCGGGAGAUCUCCCUCUUCCGCCGGACCAUCCCCGUCGACGGGCUGUGGAUCGACAUGAACGAGAUCUCCAACUUCUACAACCCGGAGCCGAUGAACGCGCUCGACGACCCGCCCUACCGGAUCAACAACAACGGCACGCACCGCCCCAUCAAUAACAAGACGGUGCCGGCCUCCGCCGUGCACUACGGCGGCGUCACCGAGUACGACGCGCACAACCUCUUCGGCCUCCUCGAGGCCCGCGCCACGCACCGCGCGCUGCUGAGGGACACCGGCCGCCGCCCCUUCGUGCUCAGCAGGUCCACCUUCGUCGGCUCCGGCCGGUACACGGCGCACUGGACUGGCGACAACGCCGCCACGUGGGGCGACCUCCGCUACUCCAUCAACACCAUGCUCAGCUUCGGCCUGUUCGGCAUGCCCAUGAUCGGCGCCGACAUCUGCGGCUUCAACGGCGACACGACAGAGGAGCUCUGCGGCCGGUGGAUCCAGCUCGGCGCCUUCUACCCGUUCUCGAGGGACCACUCGGCGAUCUUCACCGUCCGGCGAGAGCUGUACCUGUGGCCGUCGGUGGCGGCGUCGGCGAGGAAGGCGCUCGGGCUCCGGUACCAGCUGCUGCCUUACUUCUACACGCUCAUGUACGAGGCGCACACGACGGGGGCGCCCAUCGCGCGGCCGCUCUUCUUCUCCUACCCGCACGACGUCGCCACGUACGGCGUGGACAGGCAGUUCCUGCUCGGCCGCGGCGUGCUCGUCUCGCCGGUGCUCGAGCCGGGCGCCACCACCGUCGACGCCUACUUCCCCGCGGGCCGGUGGUUCAGCCUCUACGACCACUCCCUCACCGUCGCAACGAAGACCGGCGAGCACGUCACGCUCCCGGCGCCGGCCGACACGGUGAACGUGCACGUGGCCGGCGGAACCAUCCUGCCGCUGCAGCAGAGCGCGCUGACGACCUCGCGCGCGCGCCGGACCGCGUUCCACCUCCUGGUCGCGCUCGCUGAGGACGGCACGGCCAGCGGGGACCUUUUCCUGGACGACGGCGAGUCGCCGGAGAUGGGCGGCAGAAGCGAUUGGAGCCUGGUAAGGUUCAGCUGCGCAACGGGGAGCGACGGGUCCAUCAAAGUGAGGUCGGAGGUGGUGCACAACUCGUACGCACAGACCAGGACGCUGGUGAUCAGCAAGGUGGUGCUCAUGGGCCACCGGUCGCCGGCGGCGCCGAAGAAGCUCACCGUCCACGUCAACGGCGCGGAGGUGGAGCCGAGCUCGCCAGCCGGCACACGGUACCAGAACGCAGGAGGACUCGGCGGCGUCGCCCACAUCGGCGGGCUGUCGCUGGUCGUCGGGGAGGAGUUCGAGCUGAAGGUCGCCGUGUCCUAUUGA